rnacentral:rRNA from 1 species
GAUGAACGCUAGCGGCAGGCUUAAUACAUGCAAGUCGAGGGGCAGCAGGACUGUAGCAAUACCGUUGCUGGCGACCGGCAAACGGGUGCGGAACACGUACGCAACCUACCCAAAACUGGGGGAUAGCCCGGGGAAACCCGGAUUAAUACCUCGUAACCUUUUUAAGUGGCAUCACUUGAUAAGUAUAGCUCCGGCGGUUUUGGAUGGGCGUGCGCCUGAUUAGGUAGUUGGUGCGGGUAACGGCCCACCAAGCCUGCGAUCAGUAACUGGUGUGAGAGCACGACCAGUCACACGGGCACUGAGACACGGGCCCGACUCCUACGGGAGGCAGCAGUAAGGAAUAUUGGCCAAUGGACGCAAGUCUGAACCAGCCAUGCCGCGUGAAGGAUGAAGGUCCUCUGGAUUGUAAACUUCUUUUAUGGGGGACGAAACCCGGAUAUUCUUAUCCGAUUGACGGUACCUCAGGAAUAAGCACCGGCUAACUCCGUG